GAUGUGUAAGGCUUCUUAUCCCAAUCCCUGGCAACGAUACUCCCCUCAACCGCGGCUUGGAGAGAAAACCCUAGGCCCUCCGGCGACGAGGCCGGGCCGCUGGUUCCUCAUAUCAUCUCCUCUUCCUUCUCUCCGGCAAGGUCGAUCCGAGGCGGGAGGCGAUGUCUUCGACCCUUCUCGAGGUGACGCGGGCCGCCCACGAGGACGUGGAGCGGCUCGAGCGGCUUGUCGUGAAGGAGCUCCAGAGGGAGCCGGCCAACAAUCGGGAGCGCCUCUUCCAGAAUCACCGCGUCCGGCACAUGAUUGAUCUAAUCAGGAUCACCAGCGACAAGCUCGUCGAGAUAUAUGAGGACAAAGACAAUGCGAGGCGAGAUGAGAUUGCGGCGCUGGGAGCGGGUGGCCCGAACAAUUGUUUUCCUGCUUUCUAUGACCGUUUGAAGGAGAUUCGCGACUACCAUAGGCGACAUCCAGCUGCACGCGUGGUUGAUGCGAAUGAAGAAUUCGAAGAGUUACUGAAGGAAGAGCCACAAAUUGAAUUCAGCGGAGAGGAAGCUUUUGGUCGGUACCUGGACGUGCAUGAAUUAUACAACAAGUACAUCAACUCAAAAUUUGGAGAGCCUAUGGAAUACUCUGUUUUCUUGGAGACAUUUUCUCAGACCCACAAAAUUCCUCGCAAUCUGAAGUUGACCAGGCAAUAUAGAGAAUAUUUGGAGCAUGUUCUGGAAUAUCUGAUUUCAUUUUUGGAGCGUACACAGCCCCUGCAAGACCUUGGGAGAAUAUUUACAAAGGUGGAGGCAGAGUUUGAAGAGCAGUGGGCUGAUGGUAAGGUACUUGGAUGGGAAAACAAGGGGACAGAAAAUGGGCAUGUUUCAUCACAAGAGUCUGUGAUCGAUCUUGAUUAUUACAGUACAGUGGAAGAACUUAUGGAAGUGGGCCCCGAAAAAUUGAAAGAGGCCUUGGCUGCUUGUGGAUUGAAAACUGGUGGUACACUUCAGCAGCGUGCAGAGCGCCUUUUUCUGACAAAGCACACACCCGUGGAGCAAUUAGACAGAAAACAUUUUGCUAAAGGUUCACGUGGUUUGGAGCAAAAUGGAGUUGCAGAAGAGACCAACUCUAAGAAGGAAAUUGCUUUAGUGGAGGCAAAGAUGCAACGGUUGUGUGAAUUGCUAAAAGAGACUAUCAUACAAACAAAGGAAAAUGUCAUAAAGAAACAAGCUUUGACUUAUGAGGAAAUGGAAGCUGAACGUGGAGAGGAAGAAAUACAAGCUGAUACUGAGAGUGAUGAUGAAGAGCAGCAAAUUUACAAUCCUCUGAAGUUGCCUAUGGGUUGGGAUGGCAAGCCUAUACCCUACUGGCUUUACAAGCUUCAUGGUCUUGGCCAGGAAUUCAAGUGUGAAAUAUGUGGGAAUUAUAGUUAUUGGGGUCGGAGAGCAUUUGAGCGUCAUUUCAAGGAGUGGAGGCACCAGCAUGGAAUGCGUUGUCUAAAUAUACCUAACACUAAGAACUUCAAUGAAAUUACAUCUAUUCAGGAAGCAAAGGAUCUGUGGGAGAAAAUACAAGAACGGCAAGGAUUGAUCAAGUGGCGCCCAGACCUUGAAGAAGAGUAUGAAGACAGGGAGGGUAACAUCUAUAAUAGGAGAACAUACACUGACCUGCAGCGCCAAGGCCUCAUCUAACAGAGUGCUGUUUAAAGCUUGCGUGAGAUGGAGGGGUGUCUGCUGAAGUUUACAUCAGACAUUGCUUCAAGAAGCAGGGCAACUGGGGGAAGCUUUUCAAAUUGUCUGUGAAACAAAAAGUUCACUAUGAGGGGCCUAACAUGUGCAGAUGUGCUUGAUUCGCCAGCCAAUGAGGGUGGCCGCCGUCAAGUGCUGUUCCUUCUUUUUAAUGUUUCAGCGGUCAUUUGGUUUUCAUAGCAUGUGUUUACCAUAAUAUUGCAGGGUAAGCAUUGCAACAGUCUACCAUGAAGAUUAUAGCGAAUGAAUUACACUGGUCCUCGUCAUUCUGCAGCUGAAGCGACAACCUGCUCCAGGCAUUGUUAAAAUCAAGGAUUUGGGACUUGGUAUCUGCAUCUGCAGCAUCAGGCAUGUCGCGUUCCCGAGCUUGUAGGGACGCUUUUGCCUCUCAUACUGUUUUGAGUCCAUUUCCUUGUCCAUUCCCCCAGAGUAGUCUGAAUCAAAAUGCCAACUCUUCUUUGCUAGAAGUAUUUCUACUGGAUGGUUGCUAUAUAGAACUAUAUUUUACAAUAGUUAAAAGAUUGCGAAGGCCUUCGGUCGAA